UUUAUUGAGAGUUUGAUCCUGGCUCAGAACGAACGCUGGCGGCGUGGAUUAGGCAUGCAAGUCGAGCGGGAUCGUCAGGCUUCAAUCCUUCGGGAGAGAAACCUGACGUGAGAGCGGCGAACGGGUGAGUAACGCUUGAACAACCUGCCCUUCAGUCCGGAAUAGCCCACCGAAAGGUGGAUUAAUGCCGGAUGUGUUCCUCCUGCGCAUGCAGGACUGUGUAAAGACGGGAUUUAUCCUGUCGCUGAAGGAUGGGUUCGAGUCCUAUCAGCUUGUUGGUGAGGUAACGGCUCACCAAGGCGAUGACGGGUAGCCGGCCUGAGAGGGUGAUCGGCCACACUGGGACUGAGACACUGCCCAGACUCCUACGGGAGGCUGCAGUCGAGAAUCAUUCGCAAUGCGCGAAAGCGUGACGAUGCGACGCCGCGUGGAGGACGAAGGCCCUAGGGUCGUAAACUCCUGUCAGCAGGGAACAAGGGGCACGGGCUAAUACCCCGCAGCUCUUGAUGGUACCUGCAGAGGAAGUCACGGCUAACUCUGUGCCAGCAGCCGCGGUAAUACAGAGGUGGCUAGCGUUGUUCGGAUUUACUGGGCGUAAAGGGUCCGCAGGCGGCCCCGCAUGUCGGAUGUGAAAGCUCACGGCUCAACCGUGGAACGGCAUUCGAAACUGUGGGGCUAGAGUCCGGGAGAGGAGAGGGGAAUUCUUGGUGUAGCGGUGAAAUGCGUAGAUAUCAAGAAGAACGCCGGUGGCGAAAGCGCCUCUCUGGACCGGUACUGACGCUCAUGGACGAAAGCCGGGGGAGCGAAAGGGAUUAGAUACCCCUGUAGUCCCGGCUGUAAACGGUGUGCACUUGUCGUGGGAGGACUACCCCCUUCCGUGACGAAGCUAACGCGUUAAGUGCACCGCCUGGGGAGUACGGCCGCAAGGCUAAAACUCAAAGGAAUUGACGGGGGCCCGCACAAGCGGUGGAGCAUGUGGCUUAAUUCGAUGCAACGCGAAGAACCUUACCUGGGUUUGACAUGCAGCUGCAAGCCCCUGAAAGGGGGUCGCCUUCGAGGGUGCUGCACAGGUGCUGCAUGGCUGUCGUCAGCUCGUGCCGUGAGGUGUUGGGUUAAGUCCCGCAACGAGCGCAACCCCUAUGUUUAGUUGCCAUCGGUUCGGCCGGGCACUCUAGACAGACUGCCUCGGUUAACGGGGAGGAAGGUGGGGAUGACGUCAAGUCCGUAUGGUCCUUAUGCCCAGGGCUGCACACGUGCUACAAUGGCCGGUCUAGUGGGAUGCAAUACUGCGAAGUGGAGCAAAUCCUUAAAGCCGGCCCCAGUUCGGAUCGGGGUCUGCAACUCGACCCCGUGAAGUCGGAAUCGCUAGUAAAGGCGUAUCAGCAAUGGCGCCUUGAAUACGUUCCCGGGCCUUGUACACACCGCCCGUCACAUCAUGAGAGUCGGCUGCACCCGAAGUCGCCGGUCCAACCCGUUCAGGGAGGAAGGCGCCGAAGGUGUGGCAGAUAAUUGGGAUGAAGUCGUAACAAGGUAGCCGUAGGGGAACCUGUGGCUGGAUCACCUCCUUU
rfam:Kiritimatiella glycovorans strain L21-Fru-AB chromosome, complete genome.